rnacentral:rRNA from 1 species
UACGUAGGGCGCAAGCGUUGUCCGGAAUUAUUGGGCGUAAAGAGCUCGUAGGCGGUUUGUCGCGUCUGCUGUGAAAACCUAAGGCUCAACCUUGGGCUUGCAGUGGGUACGGGCAGACUAGAGUGCGGUAGGGGUGACUGGAAUCCUGGUGUAGCGGUGGAAUGCGCAGAUAUCAGGAGGAACACCGAUGGCGAAGGCAGGUCA